rnacentral:rRNA from 1 species
AUUGAACGCUGGCGGCGUGCUUAACACAUGCAAGUCGAGCGGUAACAGGCGUAGCAAUACGUGCUGACGAGCGGCGAACGGGUGCGUAAUACAUGGGAAUCUGCCCUUUGGUGGUGAAUAACCCGGCGAAAGCCGGGCUAAUGCCGCAUAAGAUCUUCGGAUGAAAGCGGGGGAUCGUAAGACCUCGCGCCGAUGGAUGAGCCCAUGUCGGAUUAGCUAGUUGGUGAGGUAACGGCUCACCAAGGCGACGAUCCGUAGCUGGUCUGAGAGGACGGCCAGCCACACUGGAACUGAGACACGGCCCAGACUCCUACGGGAGGCAGCAGUGGGGAAUAUUGGACAAUGGGCGAAAGCCUGAUCCAGCGACGCCGCGUGUGUGAAGAAGGACUGCGGGUUGUAAAGCACUUUCGAUGGGAACGAAAUGUGUCGGGCUAAUACCCCGGCAAGCUGACGUUACUCAAUGAAGAAGCACCGGCUAACUCUGUGCCAGCAGCCGCCGUAA